rnacentral:rRNA from 1 species
CCUACGGGAGGCUGCAGUGGGGAAUAUUGCGCAAUGGGCGAAAGCCUGACGCAGCGACGCCGCGUGAGGGAUGAAGGUCUUCGGAUCGUAAACCUCUGUUAGCAGUGAAGAACGGUCACUGUGCUAAUCAGCCGUUAAUUGACGGUACCUACAAAGGAAGCACCGGCUAACUCCGUGCCAGCAGCCGCGGUAAUACGGAGGGUGCGAGCGUUAAUCGGAUUUACUGGGCGUAAAGCGCUCGUAGGCGGUAUGUCAAGUCAAGUGUGAAAUCCCCGCGCUCAACGUGGGAACUGCCUUUGAAACUGGCAAACUGGAGUGUGUGAGAGGAGAGUGGAAUUCCAGGUGUAGGAGUGGAAUCCGUAGAUAUCUGGAGGAACAUCAGUGGCGAAGGCGACUAUCUGGCACAUAACUGACGCUGAGGAGCGAAAGCAUGGGUAGCAAACAGGAUUAGAUACCCUAGUAGUC